UCUCUCUUUCUCUCUCUCUCUCUCUCUCUCUCUCUCUCUGUGUGUGUGUGUGUGUGUGUGUGUGAAAGAGAGAGAGAGAAAGAGAGAGAGAGAGAGAGAGAGAGAGA
rnacentral:miRNA from 1 species